AAAAGAGAAAGUAAUAGAUAUAAUUAUUAUUAUUAUAAACCUAGCUCCCUUCCUCACUCACUGUUCCAAGAAACGGAGAGAGAGGCCCUGUUUUUGGGGCAGAAAACCAGAGGUCGGUCGCUUGAGGGAGUCGAAGGUGAGAUCAGAAGGUGGGGUUUGGCUUUGCUUGCAGAGGUUGAGGACAGAUGGAAGGUUUAUGAAAGCCUAGUUGGGCAGCGUCUAUAUGCGAGACGGACCAGGCUUAGGCUCCGAUCUUGAACGGUAAAAGGAGGCCGGCGAAAGGCUUCAGAUUCGCAAGGGAAGUCCGGUCGACGGCCACUGUUUUGUUGCUUGUAUUCCUAGACAAAGAAAGCAAUCUGGUUUGUUUCUUGUUUGAGACGGACCGAAGAAGCCGAGAAAUUGGAACCGGUUAGCGUCUCCCCAAAAGCGUGUGUCCCAGCCCUCAGUUGUUUUGUUCUUUUUAUGUAUUGAAGCAGCAGUUAUUCCCACGAAAGAGGGCCACUUCGACGACUUGGUGAAGCAAAUGUCUGGAUAAAUGAAUUAUAAUAUCCAUUAUCAUAACACGGCCACGUUCAAUUCGUCAAGGGACGACACUGAUCGAUUUGCUUUCAUGCAGUUCAAACUAUAUAAUUAAUUGUCUUUCCAGCAAAUUCAGCAAAUCGAAAUAUUGACUCCAACUUAUUUGAGUCCAAAUGCAAUUACCCAAUUGUUUAUAUCUAAAUUGUUUGUUUAAACUAUUGUUAUCGCAUGUAUGAAUUGCAGCUUGAACUUUCGUUGUUAUAUAUAAAAAAACUGCUGCUUAAAGCUUAAA